GUCUACAAUCAUGCCACCCUGAACAAGCCUGAUCCCGUCUGAUGGAAGCUAAGUAGUGUCAGGCCUGGUUAGUAUUUGGAUGGGAGACCACCUAGGAAGACCAGGUGCUGUAGGCA
rnacentral:rRNA from 1 species